CCUACGGGGUGCUGCAGUGGGGAAUAUUGGACAAUGGGCGAAAGCCUGAUCCAGCCAUGCCGCGUGUGUGAAGAAGGCCUUCGGGUUGUAAAGCACUUUCAGUGGGGAAGAAAGCCUUGGGGCUAAUACCCUCGAGGAAGGACAUCACCCACAGAAGAAGCACCGGCUAACUCCGUGCCAGCAGCCGCGGUAAUACGGAGGGUGCGAGCGUUAAUCGGAAUUACUGGGCGUAAAGCGCGCGUAGGCGGUCUGAUAAGCCGGUUGUGAAAGCCCCGGGCUCAACCUGGGAACGGCAUCCGGAACUGUCAGGCUAGAGUGCAGGAGAGGAAGGUAGAAUUCCCGGUGUAGCGGUGAAAUGCGAAGAGAUCGGGAGGAAUACCAGUGGCGAAGGCGGCCUUCUGGACUGACACUGACGCUGAGGUGCGAAAGCGUGGGUAGCAAACAGGAUUAGAUACCCCGGUAGUC
rnacentral:rRNA from 1 species